UACGGAGGGGGCUAGCGUUGUUCGGAAUUACUGGGCGUAAAGCGCGCGUAGGCGGCUUAGCAAGUUAGAGGUGAAAGCCCGAAGCUCAACUUCGGAAUUGCCUUUAAAACUGCAAGGCUAGAAUUGUGGAGAGGUGAGUGGAAUUCCGAGUGUAGAGGUGAAAUUCGUAGAUAUUCGGAAGAACACCAGUGGCGAAGGCGACUCACUGGACACAUAUUGACGCUGAGGUGCGAAAGCGUGGGGAGCAAACAGG
rnacentral:rRNA from 2 species